rnacentral:rRNA from 1 species
UAUUGGACAAUGGGCGAAAGCCUAAUCCAGCCAUGCCGCGGGUGUGAAGAAGGUCUUCGGAUGGUAAACCACUUUAAGUUGGGAGGAAGGGCAGUAAGUUAAUACUUUGCUGUUUUGACUUUACCUACAGAAUAGGCACCGGUUAACUUCUUGCCAGCAGCCGCGGUAAUACGAAGGGUGCAAGCGUUAAUCGGAAUUACUGGGCGUAAAGCGCGCGUAGGUGGUUUGUUAAGUUGGAAGUGAAAGCCCCGGGCUCAACCUGGGAACUGCUUUCAAAACUGGCAAGCUAGAGUAUGGCAGAGGGUGGUGGAAUUUCCUGUGUAGCGGCGAAAUGCGUAGAUAUAGGAAGGAACACCAGUGGCGAAGGCGACUACCUGGACUGAUACUGACACUGAGGUGCGAAAGCGUGGGGAGCAAAC